ACGCUCGACACCUACGGGAGCAGCAGUGGGGAAUAUUGCACAAUGGGGGAAACCCUGAUGCAGCGACGCCGCGUGAGCGAAGAAGUAUUUCGGUAUGUAAAGCUCUAUCAGCAGGGAAGAAACUGACGGUACCUGACUAAGAAGCACCGGCUAAAUACGUGCUAGCAGCCGCGGUAAUCUGAGCGGGCUGGCAAGGC
rnacentral:rRNA from 1 species